rnacentral:rRNA from 1 species
CCUACGGGAUGCAGCAGUGGGGAAUAUUGCACAAUGGGGGAAACCCUGAUGCAGCGACGCCGCGUGAGUGAAGAAGUAAUUCGUUACGUAACGCUCUAUCAGCAGGGAAGAAAAUGACGGUACCUGAGUAAGAAGCCCCGGCUAACUACGUGCCAGCAGCCGCGGUACUACGUAGGGGGCAAGCGUUAUCCGGAUUUACUGGGUGUAAAGGGAGCGUAGACGGUGCUCCAAGUCUGGAGUGAAAUGCCGCAGCUUAACUGCGGAACUGCGUUGGAAACUGGCGAACUAGAGUGCGGGAGGGGUAAGCGGAAUUCCUAGUGGAGCGGGGCAAUGCGUAGAGAUUAGGAGGAACACCGGUGGCGAAGGCGGCUUACUGGACCGUAACUGACGUUGAGGCUCGAAAGCGUGGGGAGCAAACAGGAUUAGAUACCCUGGUAGUC